rnacentral:piRNA from 1 species
CAAAAGCUUAAUGUAGGACAGCGGAGC